GGAGGAGGAGGAGGAGGAGGAGGAGGACCCGGACCCGCGCCGGGCGGAGCGUCAGGUCCCGUUUUCUUCCCCGGCGUCUCGAAUACAAAGAUUACGGUGCAGAAGAAGGAAAUUGCACUCGCCUCCUCCGCCCCCCCGGCCCCCGACACAAUGCACCAGCCGCCCGAGUCCACCGCCGCGGCGGCCGCGGCCGCUGCAGACAUUAGCGCUAGGAAGAUGGCGCACCCGGCGAUGUUCCCUCGAAGGGGCAGCGGCGGCGGCGGCGGCGGCGGCGGCGGCGGCGCCUCUGCGCUCAGCGCGGCAGGUACCGGCGUCGGUAGUAGUGUCACAUCUUCCGAGGAUUUUCCGCCUCCGUCGCUGCUCCAGCCGCCUCCCCCCGCCGCAUCCUCCACGUCGGGGCCGCAGCCUCCGCCUCCACAAAGCCUGAACCUCCUCUCGCAGGCUCAGCUGCAGGCACAGCCCCUCGCGCCGGGCGGGACUCAGAUGAAAAAGAAAAGUGGCUUCCAGAUAACCAGCGUCACCCCGGCUCAGAUCUCCGCCAGCAUCAGCUCCAACAACAGCAUCGCCGAGGACACGGAGAGCUACGACGACCUGGACGAGUCCCACACGGAGGAUCUGUCUUCCUCCGAGAUCCUCGAUGUGUCACUUUCCAGGGCGACCGACUUGGGGGAGCCUGAGCGCAGCUCCUCAGAAGAGACUCUGAAUAACUUCCAGGAAGCCGAGACACCUGGGGCAGUGUCUCCCAACCAGCCCCACCUCCCGCAGCCUCAUCUGCCCCACCUUCCCCCCCAGAACGUUGUGAUCAAUGGGAACGCUCAUCCUCACCACCUCCAUCACCACCAUCACAUUCAUCACGGGCACCACCUCCACCACGGGCACCACCAUCCAUCCCAUGCCGGCGUGGCCAGUCCACCCAUUCCCGGAGGGCCACCCUCCAGCCCGGGAUCCAGAAAACUCUCUGCCCCUGGAAGCGCCGACAGCGUUGCACCAGCUGCACCGACUUCUGCUGUAUCAUCGGGAGGCUCACCUGCAUCCGUAAUGACUAAUAUCCGAGCUCCAAGUACUACCGGCAGUAUAGGUAUAAGUUCUGUUACUGGCGCUACUACGGUGAAUAAUGUUAACAUCACUGCUGUGGGUACUUUUAAUCCUAGCGUGACAAGCAGCAUGCUUAGUAAUGCCAGUAUAAAUGCGAGCAAUAUCCCUAGUGCUGCUAGUGCGAGUGUCGGGCCUGGAGUUAGCAGCGGUGUGAAUGUGAAUAUCUUGAGUGGCAUGGGCAAUGGUUCUAUUUCUUCCUCCGCUGUUGUUAACAGCGCCCCUAAUGCAGCUGCAGGGAUGACUGUGGGAUCAGUUUCCAGUCAGCAGCAGCCACCGACAGUUAACACGUCGAGGUUCAGAGUUGUGAAGUUAGAUUCUAGUUCUGAACCUUUUAAGAAAGGUAGAUGGACUUGCACCGAGUUCUAUGAGAAAGAAAACGCCGCACCUGCUGCAGAAGGUGUGGCGAUGAAUAAAGUGGUGGAAACUGUAAAACAAAACCCAGAAGUGACUUCUGAGAGGGAGAGCACUAGUGGGAGUUCAGUGAGCAGUAGUGUCAGCACACUGAGUCACUACACAGAGAGUGUGGGAAGUGGAGAGAUGGGAGCCCCUACUGUGGUGGUGCAGCAGCAGCAGCAGCAGCAGCCAACUCUUCAAGGUAUGGCUCUUCAACAGAUGGAUUUCAGUAGCUCUGGUCCUCAGAGUAUUUCAGCAGUCAGUAUACCACAGAGUAUUUCUCAGUCACAGAUCACACAAGUACAGUUGCAGUCGCAAGAACUGAGCUAUCAAAAGCCAGGUCUUCAGCCUGUCCCUCUGCAAGCCACUCUCAGUACCGCGACGGGUAUCCAGCCAUCACCUGUGAAUGUGGUUGGUGUAACUUCAGCUUUAGGUCAGCAGCCUUCCAUUUCCAGUUUGGCUCAACCCCAACUGCCAUAUUCUCAGCCGGCUCCUCCAGUGCAAGCUCCCCUUCCAGGGGCACCACCCCAACAGUUACAGUAUGGACAACAGCAACCGACUGUAUCUGCACAGAUGGUCCCAGGCCAUGGUAAACCGGUGACUCAGAAUCCUACUUCAGAGUAUGUGCAGCAGCAGCCGCCGCCGCCGAUGCUCCAAACAGCGGUGUCCUCGGGACAGCCCAGUGCUGCGAGCGUGGGAGCAGGAUCGACCGUGAUUCCUACGGCCCAGCCACAGAGCAUCCAGCUGCCAGUGCAGCCCACCGCAAUCCAAGCACAACCUGCAGGGGCCUCUGGCCAGCCUGUUGGCCAGGCUCAGACGGCAGGAUCUGUGGUACCUACUGGCGGUCAAAUCGCAAAUAUUGGUCAACAGGCAAACAUAGCUACUGCGGUGCAGCAGCCCUCUACCCAAGUCACACCUUCAGUUAUUCAGCAAGGUGCUCCUCCGUCUUCACAGAUAGUUUCACCUGCUCAAACCGCGAUUAUUCAUCAGGGAGUUCAAACUAGUGCUUCGAGCCUUCCUCAACAAUUGGUCCUUGCACCCCAAAGUACCUUGUUAACUGUGCCUCCCCAGCCGCAAGGAGUAGAAUCAGUAGCUCAAGUUUCGCAGCAGUUGCCUGCAGUUAGUCCUUUGCCCUCUGCUAGUAGUAUUUCUGUUACAAAUCAGGUUAGUUCAGCUGGUCCUUCUGGAAUGCCUUCUGCCCCAACAAACUUGGUUCCACCACAGAAUAUAGCACAAACCCCUGCCACUCAAAAUGGUAAUUUGGUUCAGAGUGUUAGUCAACCUCCCUUGAUAGCAACUAAUAUAAAUCUGCCUCUGGCACAACAGAUCCCACUAAGUUCUACUCAGUUCUCUGCACAAUCAUUAGCUCAGGCAAUUGGAAGCCAAAUUGAAGAUGCCAGGCGCCCAGCGGAACCCUCCUUAGUUGGCUUACCUCAGACUAUCAGUGGUGACAGUGGGGGAAUGUCAGCAGUUUCAGAUGGGAGUAGCAGCAGCCUAGCAGCCUCUGCUUCUCUUUUCCCGUUGAAGGUGCUACCGCUGACGACACCCCUGGUGGAUGGCGAGGAUGAGAGCUCUCUAUUUCAGUGCUUCUCUCCUACCAGAGGUGCAAGGAGUGAUCCUAGAACCACAGAUACAGCCAAGACCACGGAGAGCUUUUGACGUCAGGGGUCCACUUUCUCCACUGAACCCUUGGAAGCAGAAUAUCCAGCUUCUGGAGAGAGUGGGAAAGGAUAAUAAACAAGUAUCUUGAUAAUGGGAGACCGGUUUAUUUGUUCUCUAAUUGCCCAGAUUUCUUUCAACUGGUAAACAUCAUACUUCUUCAGCAAAAGGAACUCUUCUAGCAGAGCCUUCAUGGAUGAUAUCUGUCACACAUGCAGCACCUGCAGUUUGGAAGGCAGUGGUGAACGGAGCCACGCAAUAUAUCUAGAAGACACAAGGAUGAGAGAGCCACCUGUUCUUGUCAUUUAUAAACUUUAAGAUUUACUCUGGUGUACUCUUGGUCUGGAAACGGAAAGGCUCAAAUAAUGAAAUAAUUUUUUCAGAUUGGAGUUUUACAUGGCCAUGCAAACAUUCCUUUCUAUUCAGAAGACUGAAAUAGAGGAAAUAUGAGAGACUCCUUUCUUUUAAAAGCAGCUCUCUGUUUCACUUAAAAGAUUUGUGGGAUUGAAAAAUCACCUUAAUGAAGCAGGCAACCCCCCGCCCCCGUUUUUUUUAGUAGUAUAGGAGAUCCCAAAGACUUCUCAAACUGUUUUUUGUUGCCUGACACUGAAAAGAGCUAGUAAACAAAAGGUGAACUUAAUUAUUCCCAAAUUAUGUUUAGUGUUAGGAUACACUCUUUCAGGCUUAUCUUUUUCUGGUCUUGAGCCUUAAUUCUUAUUUGUCAAAUCAACAAAGAUACCAGUAUAAAGACAUCUUUUGAGAUCAAAUAGGUUGGUCGGUCUUCUAAAGUAGUAAAUAUCUGUUAAAUUUGAGGUAUUGUUCUGCCUUGAAGUUUGAAUGAUACUGAAACGAAGAAGUGUUUUAUAAGAGCAAAGGCUAUUAGUAGUAUUAGAAUAAGCCUCUACAUGUGAAUAAGUGUUGCAAAAUAGUUACCCAAAUGGAAGUAGUUAUCAAAAUGUUUCUAUUUUUCUCUUUGGUAUCUAUUAAAUAGUCAAAAGUUAUUAAGGAAGUUUUUGAAAGUUAUUUGAUGCUGCCAGUUUGUUUUAUUUGGUAUAGUUUUUUGGAAUAGAAAUUCUAGAAUCCUUAAUAUGGGAGCAUCUAAAAUGUUUUAGGAAUCUUGAAGGUCUUAGGAACCACAUUUACUAAGUUAUAACUUGGCCUUUAGUCUUUCUUUCCAUGAGACCUGUUUUUUGCCUCAUUAAUUAUAAAUUUUUGUAUAGUACUUAAAAGUUUAAAAGAUCAAUUUGAACUAAAAUUUCCGUAGGGAGCUCUGAAUUCCCAUAAAUGAUUACAGCUUUUUAACUUGAUUUGUUGCUGUUAAAUAUGAAUAAGACAGUCUUUACAAACACAUAAAUUUAAAAAUACCCACCAUUUUAGAAAGAACUCAGGGGAAAUGAAAGUGAAAUUUGCUUGGAAAUUAAGUUGAACUCUUUGAACCACAGUACCAACCAGUUUAUGGCCUGUGCGAUUAUAAGCCUUUUGUUUCAGCUUUAAAGAUGAAAAGUGAUUUAAUCUCUUAACCUCAUGCUUUGAUUAAAUUUUAGCUCUGUUCCUUAAAGUGUGCAAAAGAAAUGUAAGUGCAUUUCCAUUUACCUCAUGCCACUAAAAGCUAUUUAAAAGUGAAACUUUUUGUAUAUUAAUGUGAACUGAUUUGUUUAUUUAAACUUUUAUUUUGAUACAUUUUCCUUUCAGAUUUUUUUAUAUUUCGUGUCACUAUGCAAUUCUAUAUUUUUCAGUGUUUAUUUUAUGAUUAUUAGUAUAAGCUAAUUUUUUUCCUAGAAUGACUAAUUGUGUAAUAUUUGUAUUAUGUGAUCAUUUGAAAACUAAUAAAUAUUUUCUCCAUGAAAAAAAUGCACUUACUGAUAAAUGGCUUAUUUUGUUUCAGGAGUAGACAAUGAAAACAAUAUUUUUAAGUGUAUUUUAAUUUUAUGUGUCAUCCUCUAAGUAUUUCUGAAUAUAUAUCCUAUUCUUGUGUAUGUUAAUCUUUUUUGAAAAAAUUUUUAAAAAACUGUUAAAUUAAAAUGAUUAUUCAUUGGGUCACCCAGUGCCAAAUGUAUGAAAUAGGUAAUCUAUUUAUUUAGUCUUUUUUCCCAUUUUCCUGAUUAGCUUCAUCUUUGUUUCCAGAAGGGGGUUGGUUUCUUUUUUUUUUUUUUUAGAUGCCAUUUUGGUGUGUCCAUUUUGCAAACCAUUAAAACUCUCGAGCAAAUAUUGUAAAUAUCAGGAAUAAACAUGGUCAAAUCUUUUAAAGUGAGAUUGAUCAAAAUAUAAACGGAAAGGUAAAACCCGUUACAAAAUAGCAUAUAAAAGACAAAUCCUCGCCUUAGGAAAAAAAAAAAAAGCAUUUGGAAAUAAUGGCCGAUUGGAAAACUACCCAAUUCACUA